GCCUGGCUGGCUCAAGUGGUAGAGCAUGCAACUCUCAAUCUCAGGGUCGUGAGUUCAAGCCCCACGUUGGGCA